rnacentral:rRNA from 1 species
AUUGAACGCUAGCGGGAUGCUUUACACAUGCAAGUCGAACGAGAGGCGGACGGGUGAGCAAUAUAUCGGAAUGUGCCCAGUAGAGGGGGAUAACUACUCGAAAGAGUGGCUAAUACCGCAUACUAUAGGAGCGGCCGGUAUAGGAGUAGCGAGUGGGUGGGGUAAAGGCUCACCAAGGCAACGAUCCGGAGCGGGUUUGAGAGGACGACCAGUCACACUGGGACUGAGACACGGCCCAGACUCCUACGGGAGGCAGCAGUGGGGAAUUUUGGACAAUGGGGGAAACCCUGAUCCAGCCAUCCCGCGUGUAUGAGAAGGCCUUCGGGUUGUAAAGUACUUUUGGCAGAGAGGCGGUAUCUGCAGAAUAAGCACCGGCUAACUACGUGCCAGCAGCCGCGGUAAUUC